UACUGGGCCAUGGGGGUUUUGGGCUCAGGUAAUUGAAUUUUUUUGCAUUUUGAAUUGUAAUACUAGUUUAGUCUAGUAGUGUUGCCAUAAAAAUAAUAAAAGUCACUUUCUGGUUCAAGGGUCCAAAGCACCUGUGAUGAAACGACGCUGUUUUUUUGCGUUUUGGUUAAAAGAAGAAGACCUGAGUUAUGGUCGUCAGUCAGAGGAAACCCUUGCCCUCCCCUCGAGCCUCAUUCCUGAUUCCUGAGUCUCAGCGUUAUUUCUCCCCAAAAUACAACCCUAGCCUCAGCGCGCCGCCCUUGGUCUGACUGUUGCCGGUUGGUUCGUCGUGGUCGGUUGCCAAUCCUCCUGUUUCCAAGUGGCCGAAGGCCCUUCCGUUCCCCCAACGCAAGAGUCUACAGGUCAUGGUCGGUCGUCGUCUGGCGGUCGUGUGCGUGGCAAGGUCGUCGUCGUCCGUCGCCUGCUCAGUUGUGACCGUCGCCAGCUGCCCAUCUACUGUGGCUGUCCCUCAAAUCUGUUGCUACGGCACGCGCAUCUGGUUCUUUGUUUCUGCGCUGGUGUCCCAGUUCUUCUUCUUCUCUGCAUUAUCAUUCAGCCAGUCCCUACUGCGGAGAUGGAUGCGGUGCAUAACAAUGGUGGUGAGGGGAAAAAUAAUGAAGAAAACGGGCGUUGUGAUGAGGCGGUGGCGAAGGACAUUUUGAAUGAUACUAUUGGAAGUGAAUCAGAGAGUCAAAUGUGUUUGGAUGUUGGAGAUGUUGAGGGUUUGACUAUUGAAGAUAUUAUGCAAAAGACUUUUGAUGAUGAUGCGUAUGAGUUCUACAAAAAUUUUGGUAGGUAUCAUGGGUUCGGUGUCCGAAAAGGGGACUCACGAAGGGACGAUGAUGGAAACGUUAGGAAGAGGAGGUUUUUUUUUGUAAUAAGGAGGGACUCAGAGAUCCCAAGCACUAUAAUAGACUGGAUAGGAUGCGAGUACAUAAACCUGAGACGAGAACAAAUUGCAAGGCAAAGUUUUCUGUUCACCUAGAUAAGAGUGCUUCCGUAUGGCGAGUAAGGAAGAUCAACAACAACAACAACCAUGAAUUGACUCCCCAGGUAAUGGUGCACCUAAUCCCAAAGUAUAGGUCAUUGACUAAAGGGGCGAAAGCGCAAAUUGAUAGAUUCUGUGAGUGCGGGAUAUCGACGGCAAAAACAAUGCGAUAUAUGGCAGGAUUGGUGGGUAGGUAUUCAUUGGUAGGAUUUCUAAAGAAGGACGCGUACAAUUAUAUUGACAAGCAAAGGCGCGAGCAAAUUGUUGACGAAGAUGCUGAAUCUGCGAUAGCAUACCUAGAAGGAAAGGCAGAGGCGGAUCCUAUGCUGAUGGCACGGUAUAAUUUGACCGAGGAUAGAAUGCUUGCAAAUAUGUUUUGGGCCGACGGGGGAAGUAGGUUGGACUACCAAUAUUUUGGAGAUGUUCUGGCUUUCGACUCUACUUACAAAAAAAAAAAAAAAAUAAGUACAACAGACCACUGGUUAUUUUCUCAGGAUCAAACAAUCACAAACAGACCACGAUAUUCGGCUUUGGGCUAGUGUUGGAUGAGACGAUAGGGUCAUAUACUUGGCUAUUGAAGAGCCUGUUGGAGGUAAUGUGCCAAAAGAUGCCAUAUGUGGUUGUAACCGAUGGUGAUGAAGCAAUGUGGAAAGCUGUGAGAGUGGUAUUCCCUAGAGCAACGCAUCAGUUGUGUGGGUGGCACUUUGAGAAGAAUGUCACGUCGAAUGUAAAAGAUGCAGGAUUGCGCGCACGAUUUAAUCGGUGGCUUUAUGCAGACAUUGCAGUUAACAAAUUCUUGAUGGAAUGGAGCUAGUCUGUUGAGGAGUUUAGUUUGCAAAAUAGCCUCUGGGCAAAUCAGGUAUUUGGGAAGAAGGAGAUGUGGGCAAAUGCGUACCUGAGGGAUAAAUUUUGUACUGGUAUAAGAGUGACGUCAAGUUGUGAAGGUAUAAAUAGUGUUGCAAAGAACUUCCUUCAGUCGAAGCAUGGGAUGCUUGAACUUGUUCAAAAAUGGAACUGAUGGUCCGUGACUAUCGAAACAACGAGUUGUUGGCGCAAUUUAGAUCAAUUGAUAGCAUUCCGGUGAUGCCGACAAGCUUGGAGUCACUAGAGCGAUACGCUGUGAGUGUUUAUACACGUGCAAUAUUCGGGGAUGUUUGAAACAAGAUCGUAGGUGUCGCAUCGGUCAAUCUGGUUAGAUUACAAAGGUCUUUGACUACGAAGAUUUACACUAUCGAUGAGUAUGGGCAACCCGAAAGAGAGAUCGUAGUUUUAUACAAUAAGAAUAUGGGAAGAAUGAAAUGUGGCUGCAACUUUUGGAACAAACAUGGCUAUCCCUGCAAGCACAUGUUUUUCGUCAUGAAGCAUGAGCACCUUCCUAACAUUUUGGACGGAUUAGUUCUCAAGCGAUGGACUAAAAAUGCCAAGGCACUUGAAGCAUAUGAAGAGAAGAUAGAUGACGGUGCUGACCGGGCCUGCUUAUUACGUCAUGGUGCGCUUCAUUCGGCUUGCCAUUGGCUGUUCUUUUUGGGGUCACAGAAGUAUGAUCUAUAUCGAACGGCAAUGAAAGGAAUACGUAAUCUUUGUAUCCACCUGGAGGGUUACAUUGCAACUGAGGACAAUGUGUUUUCUACCAAGGGUGAUGGAGUGAUUCGUGAUUCGGUGGCUGUGCGGACAAAGGGAGCUCCAAAAACCCAGAACUGUCGGGGGGCGCAAAAGACGGUGUACCGAAUGUAGGAACCCUGGUCACAUGAAGAGACGCUGUCCAGGAAAAAAAACUAGUCAUGGGAUGGAAAUGGAAGAUGGAUGCACAGCUGGUUUCGACUUAGAUGCAUUGGAGGAGAUUAAAAUGUUCAACCACAUCGAAGAAUUGGGACUAAUUACAAUGAUGAGGUUGCUCAAUGCACAAAUGAAGACAAGGCUUGCCAUAUCGAGGUUUAUAACAUGGAUAUGCUGGGUGUUGGAGCAAAUAAUUAUGUCCCAACACAAACUUCAGCGGCUGACGCACAGUGCAAUGAUAACGAUAAGGCGUUAAGACUAGUGCCAAAUUGUUGCAUGUCACUUUUUCUUGUGGUUGUGAUGUCAUGAUAGUCAUAUUCUGUUUGGAAUUAGGUGUGGUAUUGUUGCAUGUGUACUUGGAGACAUUAGAAAUAUGCGCUUUUCUACAGCCAAUAUAAACAUGACUUUGUGAUUCUGAAUAUGCAGCUGAUCAGGAUGGUACUCAGGCUGAACAGGAUACUCUGACGUCUAUGGUUGAAGCCAAAAGUGUUAACAUCUAUUAGUCUUUUCUCCCAUAUGUAAUGGGUAUUGUGUUGUGUGAUUUGUAAAUAAUGUUUCCUACGAAGAAGGAUGUCCCAAUGAGAGGGAUAUAUGAUUGUAAAUUGUGAGACCAUGUGAAAAGUUUACUACCAACUUUACUUUGUUUCUAGUUUUUAAUUAUGUUAAGCGGCUUGCAGAAGGUGAGCAAGGAUGGAUGAUGUGUGGUUUUAUCAUUUUACAUGUAUAACUGCAGUAUCAAUCUUAUGUUGUUGAGUUAUAAUUAGAAAUGGGAGUUUAUUCCCUCGUCCCAAUGGAGUGAAGUUAUUCAUCUUUUCCCUUCA